rnacentral:rRNA from 1 species
CCUACGGGAGGCAGCAGUAGGGAAUCUUUCACAAUGGGCGAAAGCCUGAUGGAGCAACGCCGCGUGCAGGAUGAAGGCCUUCGGGUUGUAAACUGCUUUUAUAAGCGAGAAAUAUGAUGGUAACUUAUGAAUAAGGAUCGGCUAACUACGUGCCAGCAGCCGCGGUCAUACGUAGGAUCCGAGCAUUAUCCGGAGUGACUGGGUGUAAAGAGUUGCGUAGGUGGCAUAAUAAGUAGCUAGUGAAAUCGGGUGGCUCAACCAUUCAGACUAUUAGCUAAACUGUUAAGCUCGAGACCGUUAGGGGUAACUGGAAUUUCUAGUGUAGGAGUGAAAUCCGUAGAUAUUAGAAGGAACACCAAUAGCGUAGGCAGGUUACUGGGACGGUUCUGACACUAAGGCACGAAAGCGUAGGGAGCAAACGGGAUUAGAUACCCGGGUAGUC